rnacentral:rRNA from 1 species
AUUGAACGCUGGCGGCAUGCCUUACACAUGCAAGUCGAACGGUAACAGGUCUUCGGAUGCUGACGAGUGGCGAACGGGUGAGUAAUGUAUCGGAACGUGCCCAGUUGUGGGGGAUAACUACUCGAAAGAGUGGCUAAUACCGCAUACGACCUGAGGGUGAAAGCGGGGGAUCGCAAGACCUCGCGCAAUUGGAGCGGCCGAUAUCAGAUUAGGUAGUUGGUGGGGUAAAGGCUCACCAAGCCGACGAUCUGUAGCUGGUCUGAGAGGACGACCAGCCCCCCUGGGACUGAGACACGGCCCAGACUCCUACGGGAGGCAGCAGUGGGGAAUUUUGGACAAUGGGCGCAAGCCUGAUCCAGCCAUGCCGCGUGCGGGAAGAAGGCCUUCGGGUUGUAAACCGCUUUUGUCAGGGAAGAAAGGGCUCCUUCUAAUACAGGGGGCUCAUGACGGUACCUGAUGAAUAAGCACCGGCUAACUACGUGCCAGCCGCCGCAGUAAAAC